AGGCUAUGAAGCAAUUGGCUGUGUCGGCAUGCAGUCGAUUGUGAAGCCAGACCUUGGGUUAUGCGACAACCUCAAACCGAAUAGUUUCUUCGGAACUGAAAGAAAACGCUUUUA
rnacentral:ncRNA from 1 species